UACAGAGACCUCAAGCGUUAUCCGGAUUUACUGGGCGUAAAGGGUCCGCAGGUGGUUUGGGAAGUCAUUUGUUAAAUUCCAGAGCUUAACUCUGGAGCCGCAGAUGAUACUCUCAGACUAGAGGCUGGGAGAGGUAUACGGAACUACUAGUGUAGCGGUAAAAUGCGUUAAUAUUAGUAGGAACACCAAAGGCGAAGGCAGUAUACUGGAACAGUCCUGACACUCAGGGACGAAAGCGUGGGGAGCGAAUGGG
rnacentral:rRNA from 1 species